UAGUAAAUAAACAACUUACACAUGCAUGGAAAUGUUUUUAAUGUCAUUUUCAAUUUUCUCUGCAAAGUCCAUCAUCAAUGGACAAAAAAAAAAUCACAGUGGCUUGACACUUUUUCCAAGUGUUCCAUAAAGAAAAUGCCUGUGCCAUUGUUCAUUGAAGAUCAGGAACAAAUUGAUAUUAUCUCCACUCACCUGACUUCAAUUCUGAACAGUACACCCACACACACCCACAGUGACCAGAUCAGAUUUAUUAUGGAUGUCCUUUUUCCAGAGGCUGAGGAGAAAUUCCUGCGAGGACCUGUCAUUGACGCAAGCUACUUGAGCGGGAGCACUUUGACAGCAGAAUAAAAAAACAAUAAAAGAAGAGAGGCAAGCCAUAGGAGAGUCUACAGGAGUCAUGCUGUUAAGAAAUAAAAGUCAUGGUGUUAAUAAAAAUUUUUGUGAACAACAAUAUUGUCUCUUUCUUUUAAAGGACCCUUGGAAUUUUAGAAAAGGGUUAAAUUGUGUUUGUCUUCAUAAAAUGCUAUGUAGGACAUGUUUUGUAGCUGUAUGACGACCAAUUGUGAAUUGUACAGCAGAUAUUUCAUUUAGGAUGCAAAUGAUUACACAGUACUGUA